AUUCUAUCAUUUUGUCGUUCCUUCUUGUAUAGAGGGCUUUCGUUCUCCGUAAACUAUUUAAAAAACCAAUGCCGGUUACUGGUGAAGAGGAACUUCGUCGCACCCUGGCUGCUUGCGAUCUCGAAAAUCAGAAUCCCUAUCAGAGGACUCACAAUCCAGUCUUGAAUGAAGGUGAAACAAAUCAGCUUAUGACUUCUGAAACAACAGAUAUUGGAUUUUCAAAAGAGAUGAGGCAGGAGAAAGCCUUGUGGAAUGUAAUCUAAUGAAACUUGGGACCUGCAUCAAUCAUCUAGAAUUAAGGCUUACUUUUCUCUGCAUAUUUACAGGUAAAUUCUCAACCGAUACCUCAUCUGGGAUCAUCCUAUGGCCGUGAUGAAGAGAAUUACCUCCUUGACACUGCAUGUAAUACACUCAUGCAAGACUUCUCUUGCUAUAUCUUUGGGACUUCUCACUUGACGCCUAGCAGACCACCUCAGAGAAGCACGAUUCGGUUCCUUCCCCUGCACACUGAUCAACCCAUGGAUCAUCAAUCCAUGAUAGGACUAUCAUAUGAUUUAAGAUGAGAGUAAUAUUAGAAAGAUUUUCGUAUCCAAGGUGUUUCAUGGCAACUGAAAUGCAUGCGCCUCAGUUGCCUGUUCUAUUAUUUUAUAUGAUGGAUAGUUAAUAAAGCACGCAUCCUAAUAGUUCAUCUAAGAAGCUAACCGCACCUCUUAUCCUGAGUUCUGAAGAUGUUGCAUUGAAGUUACUGUACUAGUUUUUCAUUUUCUGCAUGUGAAAAUGUCAGCGAAACAAACAGCUAUAAACCCUUUCAGCGAGUGCUUGCGAUGAUUUGUCAUCAGUAAUUGAAAAACUUCACACUUUUAAGUACAGGAAUUAUAGUGUUCAAACCAUCCAUUUGACAUGCGUACUUCUGCUUAGCCUAGGAGCCUCAUUGUCCAGGCACUUCGCUUCUGUCGCUUCAAACAAUGAAUAUCGUUUUGGCUUUGACAAGAUUAACCAAGUAGGUAGCUGGGGAAACCUAGAGCUAAUUCAUGCAAGCAACAACCAGAUAAAGACCCAAGAUUCCCAAAUCCACCAACUCUUAAGAUGGUAACUGGGACCUUAGACCAGAUUCAUGCGAUCAAGAACGAAACUGAAGGCCCAAGUUCCGACAUGAUAGAAGUUUUUACCAUGAAAAUAAUGGAGCCUACUCACAAAACAGCAGCUUGUAAUUACAUGAUUAAGAGGAACUUGUUCCCGAUUCUAUACCCUGGCAAGAGGUGCAGAAAGUUUUACUACAACAGCCAAUGUAAUUGAUACAUGUACACCAAAGCGACAUUCUGUAACUUGCCUAUGGCAAUCUACAUCAACAAAGAGAUGGGCAAGAGAAAUUUUAACAUUUCCUUUAGCA